GACGAACGCUGGCGGCGUGCCUAAUACAUGCAAGUUGAGCGCUGAAGGUUGGUACUUGUACCAACUGGAUGAGCAGCGAACGGGUGAGUAACGCGUGGGGAAUCUGCCUUUGAGCGGGGGACAACAUUUGGAAACGAAUGCUAAUACCGCAUAAAAACUUUAAACACAAGUUUUAAGUUUGAAAGAUGCAAUUGCAUCACUCAAAGAUGAUCCCGCGUUGUAUUAGCUAGUUGGUGAGGUAAAGCUCACCAAGGCGAUGAUACAUAGCCGACCUGAGAGGGUGAUCGGCCACAUUGGGACUGAGACACGGCCCAAACUCCUACGGGAGGCAGCAGUAGGGAAUCUUCGGCAAUGGACGAAAGUCUGACCGAGCAACGCCGCGUGGGUGAAGAAGGUUUUCGGAUCGUAAAACUCUGUUGGUAGAGAAGAACGUUGGUGAGAGUGGAAAGCUCAUCAAGUGACGGUAACUACCCAGAAAGGGACGGCUAACUACGUG
rnacentral:rRNA from 1 species